rnacentral:ncRNA from 1 species
AAACCUUGAGGACGGAACGGGCAGCCGUCGCCCCUCGGAACAACUCUGUGUACAAGAGCCGAGGUUAGGAGAUGUGGGAAAAAGUCACCCCACCUAGGUGU